GUUCCUUUGUGCGGUUGGCAUCUCUGUAUAUUUCCCAAAAUAAACCCUUUAAAUUCGACUUCUUCCCUUCAGUGAUCUUCCAUCUUCCAUCAUUGUGAGGAACACAUGCGCCUGAAUCGGUAGCUGGUUGAAAUCUUAGAGAACGUUGUGGAAAAAUGAGAGCUAAGUGGAGGAAGAAGCGUAUGCGGAGGCUAAAGCGUAAAAGGAGGAAGAUGAGGGCGAGGUCUAAGUAGACUUAUUGACGCUGUCAUCUAAUCUUCUUGGGAGUUUCUUGUCGCUGUCUCCAAUGCUGUUACAUCCAUAAGACUACCUCAAUCUUUGUACAAACCUCACAAUAAAUAUGUGAUGCUCCCAGGA